rnacentral:piRNA from 1 species
UGAGGAGUUAUCGCUGGAGUAUCACCU